rnacentral:rRNA from 1 species
UACGUAGGGGGCAAGCGUUGUCCGGAUUUAUUGGGCGUAAAGAGCGUGUAGGCGGUUUGGUAGGUCCGCUGUGAAAACUCGAGGCUCAACCUCGAGACGCCGGUGGAAACCAUCAGACUAGAGUCCGGAAGAGGAGAGUGGAAUUCCUGGUGUAGCGGUGAAAUGCGCAGAUACCAGGAAGAACACCCGUGGCUAAGGCGGCUCUCUGGGACGGUACUGACGCUGAGACGCGAAAGCGUGGGGAGCGAACAGG